GAUGAACGCUAGCUACAGGCUUAACACAUGCAAGUCGAGGGGCGGCAUGGUCUUAGCUUGCUAAGGCCGAUGGCGACCGGCGCACGGGUGAGUAACACGUAUCCAACCUGCCGUCUACUCUUGGACAGCCUUCUGAAAGGAAGAUUAAUACAAGAUGGCAUCAUGAGUCCGCAUGUUCACAUGAUUAAAGGUAUUCCGGUAGACGAUGGGGAUGCGUUCCAUUAGAUAGUAGGCGGGGUAACGGCCCACCUAGUCUUCGAUGGAUAGGGGUUCUGAGAGGAAGGUCCCCCACAUUGGAACUGAGACACGGUCCAAACUCCUACGGGAGGCAGCAGUGAGGAAUAUUGGUCAAUGGGCGAGAGCCUGAACCAGCCAAGUAGCGUGAAGGAUGACUGCCCUAUGGGUUGUAAACUUCUUUUAUAAAGGAAUAAAGUCGGGUAUGCAUACCCGUUUGCAUGUACUUUAUGAAUAAGGAUCGGCUAACUCCGUGCCAGCAGCCGCGGUAAUACGGAGGAUCCGAGCGUUAUCCGGAUUUAUUGGGUUUAAAGGGAGCGUAGAUGGAUGUUUAAGUCAGUUGUGAAAGUUUGCGGCUCAACCGUAAAAUUGCAGUUGAUACUGGAUAUCUUGAGUGCAGUUGAGGCAGGCGGAAUUCGUGGUGUAGCGGUGAAAUGCUUAGAUAUCACGAAGAACUCCGAUUGCGAAGGCAGCCUGCUAAGCUGCAACUGACAUUGAGGCUCGAAAGUGUGGGUAUCAAACAGGAUUAGAUACCCUGGUAGUCCACACGGUAAACGAUGAAUACUCGCUGUUUGCGAUAUACAGCAAGCGGCCAAGCGAAAGCGUUAAGUAUUCCACCUGGGGAGUACGCCGGCAACGGUGAAACUCAAAGGAAUUGACGGGGGCCCGCACAAGCGGAGGAACAUGUGGUUUAAUUCGAUGAUACGCGAGGAACCUUACCCGGGCUUAAAUUGCAGAUGAAUUACGGUGAAAGCCGUAAGCCGCAAGGCAUCUGUGAAGGUGCUGCAUGGUUGUCGUCAGCUCGUGCCGUGAGGUGUCGGCUUAAGUGCCAUAACGAGCGCAACCCUUGUUGUCAGUUACUAACAGGUUCCGCUGAGGACUCUGACAAGACUGCCAUCGUAAGAUGUGAGGAAGGUGGGGAUGACGUCAAAUCAGCACGGCCCUUACGUCCGGGGCUACACACGUGUUACAAUGGGGGGUACAGAGGGCCGCUACCACGCGAGUGGAUGCCAAUCCCAAAAACCUCUCUCAGUUCGGACUGGAGUCUGCAACCCGACUCCACGAAGCUGGAUUCGCUAGUAAUCGCGCAUCAGCCACGGCGCGGUGAAUACGUUCCCGGGCCU
rnacentral:rRNA from 1 species